UACCCUGAUUCUGCCCUCCGCCUGUCAAAA
rnacentral:piRNA from 1 species